AGAGUUUGAUCCUGGCUCAGAACGAACGCUGGUGGCGUGCUUCAUACAUGCAAGUCGAGCGAGGACAGCAGCUUGCUGCUGAGCCGAGCGGCGCACGGGUGAGUAUCGCGUGAGUAACCUGCCCUUAAGUCGGGAAUAACCCCCCUAACGGGGGACUAAUACCGGAUAUUGAGUGUUUCUGCAUGGGAAUUAGUCAAAAGGAGGCAACUCCGCUUAAGGAUGGACUCGCGUCUGAUUAGCUAGUUGGGGGGGUAACUGCCCACCAAGGCGACGAUCAGUAGCCGGCCUGAGAGGGUGAUCGGCCACAAUGGGACUGAGACACGGCCCAUACCCCUACGGGAGGCAGCAGUAGGGAAUAUUGCGCAAUGGACGGAAGUCUGACGCAGCAACGCCACGUGUGGGAUGACGCCUCUCGGGGCGUAAACCACUGUCAGCAGGGACUAGCCUACAGUGCAGACUGUACCGAAUGUACCUGCGAAGGAAGCACCGGCAAACUUCGUGCCAGCAGCCGCGGUAACACGAGGGGUGCAAGCGUUGUUCGGAAUCACUGGGCGUAAAGGGAGCGCAGGCGGGAGAUCAAGCUUGGAGUCUAAUUCCGGGGCCUAACCUCGGGUUUGCUUCAGGAACUGGUUUUCUUGGAUGGGUUAAGGGUUGGCGGAAUUCCGGGUGUAGCGGUGGAAUGCGUAGAUAUCCGGAGGAACACCGAUGGCGAAGGCAGCCAACUGGUACCACAUCGACGCUCAUGCUCGAAGGCGUGGGGAGCAAACAGGAUUAGAUACCCUGGUAGUCCACGCCGUAAACGAUGUCCGCUAGGCGCCUGAUUUAGUUUGGGUGCCGCAACUAACGCAUUAAG
rnacentral:rRNA from 1 species